ACUACCUGCUUCAGCCCCAUAAUGGGAAUGCAGCACUCGAUUCCAGUAGCCUCCACCCAAACAUUCAGGUGAACACAGGUGAGCUCUUCAGCUCUGCAGUCUUGUUGCCCUGCACCUCUCCUGUCAAUCAGAACCACAGCACGCGAACGGCACCGUACCCACAACGGGAGCCUGCUUCAGCGAGGAGGAGCGGGAGCACUGGGCCGAGGAGGCCUGCCUGGAGGUGUCCGAGCUGACGUGGGAGCCGGCGUCCUCCACCCCCUCGGCCGUGGCCAUCAGAGAGGCCCUGUAGUAGGCCAGGGGCAGCCAGCAGUCGUCCUUGCUGCUGACGGCCUCCCCAACGCACUUCUGCAGUGCUCCCAUUGGAGAAGUUCACAUGGAAGCCCUGGAGCUGCACCUCCUUUCAUGUGCCGACAGUCAGUGACACCGCUCCCAUUUUGGUGUGAUGUUUCAAGAUGAAACAGCUCCUGGAUCAUCCCCUGUGCAGUGGCCCUAUCCUUCCUCUGCCGCCACCUGACACUGCAGGUGCCAUUUGUCGAUAAAUGGUGCGAUUUUGGUGUGAUUUGUCUGUAAAUUAAAUCAGGUGCAUAUCUUCAUCCAUAUUCUUUUUGAGUUCAUAAAGUCCUGCCUUCUGCAGUUACCCUUCCCUUUACAGACACAUUGUAUGGGUGAAGAUCUGGAAUUUUGAGACAGAAGCAACACUUCUUAGUGGCAGGAAAGUCUGAAAAAGACCUGUCAAAUACUUUGAGUUAUCAGACUGAUAAGAUCAAGUGUCUGAGGCUCCUUUUCCUCUGCUGUCACUACACGGUGCUGCUUCAGUUUUGCUGUGACUGGUCUCAAAAUUUGA